UGGUUAUCCUUUGGAUCAACGAA
rnacentral:sRNA from 1 species